rnacentral:sRNA from 1 species
AAUCGCUGCCCUCGGGGCCUCCAGCGCCGGCUCUGGGCAGAGGCAGCCAGAGCGCAGAAGAGGCCUGGAAAUCCACGCGGAUUCCCGGAGACGGCGCCUCUGCUCUGCGGGUUCGUGGCGAGGAAGUCCACCCACUGCUCCCGGGCGCAGGUCUGCAGGUCCGCGCCCACUGCCCGCGGCGCCACUGACCAUGUCGGGGUCAUCCUCUCGAAGGUGUUCGAUGAAGUCAUUGAAGUGAAUCUAAUCGAUAGUGCAGACUACAUCCACCUGGCCUUUCUGAAGAGACCUGAGCUCGGGCUCACCCUCACCAAGCUUCACUGUUGGACUCUCACUCACUACAGCAAGUGUGUCUUCCUGGAUGCAGACACUCUGGUGCUGUCCAAUGUCGAUGAGCUGUUUGACAGGGGAGAGUUUUCUGCGGCCCCGGACCCCGGAUGGCCGGAUUGCUUCAAUAGCGGGGUGUUUGUCUUCCAGCCUUCUCUCCACACGCAUAAACUCCUGCUGCAGCACGCCAUGGAGCACGGCAGCUUUGAUGGGGCGGACCAAGGCUUACUGAAUAGUUUCUUCAGGAACUGGUCAACCACAGACAUCCACAAGCACCUGCCGUUCAUCUAUAAUUUGAGUAGUAACACUAUGUACACUUACAGCCCUGCCUUCAAGCAAUUCGGUUCCAGUGCAAAGGUCGUCCACUUUUUGGGGUCCAUGAAACCUUGGAACUACAAGUACAAUCCACAGAGUGGCUCGGUGUUGGAGCAGGGCUCAGCGUCCAGCAGCCAGCACCAGGCGGCAUUCCUUCAUCUCUGGUGGACGAUCUACCAGAACAACGUGUUGCCCCUGUAUAAAAGCGUCCAAGCGGGGGAAGCACGUGCGUCUCCUGGUCACACACUUUGCCUCAGUGAUGUGGGGGUGCCGUGUGCAGAUUCAGCGUCUGGUGUUGAAGAGCCGUGUGAAAAUUCAACACCCAGUGCCGGCGUGCCGUGUGCAAAUUCACCACUGGGUUCUAACCAGCCUGAGCAGGCUCAGGGCCUUCUGGAGCCGACCCAGAUAGUGGAUGAGACCCUGUCCCUACCUGAAGGACGCCGUUCAGAAGAUGUCGACCUGGCCGUCUCUGUUUCCCAGAUCUCCAUCGAAGAGAAGAUGAAGGAAUUGAGCCCCGAGGAGGAGAGGAGGAAGUGGGAGGAAGGCCGUAUCGACUACAUGGGGAAGGACGCGUUUGCUCGCAUCCAGGAGAAGCUGGACCGGUUCCUGCAGUAAUCUGGCAGCUGGUGGGCGUUGUGUGUAGUUAGACAAUGUCCUGUUGGGUGAUCCUGUUGUGUGGAGAUCUCCUCUGGUCCUUUCAAAGGGAAACGCUGUUGAACCUUGUGCCUCUAUUUAUGCUUAAUCCAUUUGAGUGCCUCAUACAAAAAACGUAGAAUAUAGAAAUCCACCUUAAAGCCCCUCGCCCCAACCCCUCCACCAAUGCCUUCUGGGCUUUCUUCAGAGGUCAGGUCUACCCUUGAACCUGUCAGCAAAAGCGAGCAGUAAUAACAUUCUAGUAGACCCUUGAUGGUGGUCUCUGCUCUUGCCCGAAGGACCUCUGAAGUACGCUGGAGCUGUGUUGUACAGGUGCUAUGAGACCUACCCUAUUUAGAAUUAAACCUCACUGCAAAUUUCCUCCCAUCACUAAGCUAACAACACUAAUAUACGUAUUUAGCACCUCUGAGGCUUUGCCGUGGAGACCCAUUUCUGUAGGGCUAAGGAAACAUUUAGACGUGGUGACUGACUUUCAUUUGGACUUGGCGAAGCGUAUCUGAGAAACACCUCGGCUGUGGUCUCUCUGCUUUAAAUCCUAACAGGACUUCCUAGAGCGUUGACAGAAAUUCUACUUGUGGACGUUGGGAAGAAAGAUUGUAGGUGGCUUGGGGGAUGUAGGUGGCUUAGAGGAUCUAAACCGAUUCACUUCCUGGUUGAGAAGAAUCAAGGGCUUGCCCCUAAACGAUUUAGAGCAACAACUUGCUCAGGAUAACAGGAUCUAGAGAUGCUCUCUGCUUGACAACAAAAGUCAGGGUGCAGUCGGUCCACCCUUGACUGCUCUUGGCUUGGUCUCUACCCUCACUACCUCAGUUCUCAUUAACUUAGUGACUCACUGCCCUCCUCAAAGCCAUUUCCACUCAGCUCUUUCCAGAGAAUUCUCAGUUUUAUGAGACGGGAAACUUUAUUUCACGAGAAAGCCUCAUUGUCAGAAGUAUCUUCAUUCAAUGGGCACAAUAUGCUGUGUAUCUCACCAGGUGGCUGUCAGGGGCCACCGAGAGUGUCGUUAAAAAUGGGCAUCGUUGUAAUAAAGGAGGAAAGUGCGAUUUUGAAAUGUGUGGAAGGUUUAUUUAUCAUGCACGUUCCAGGGAAAAGCAGAGAGUAAAUUAGAGAUGGGAUAGGAAGGCCGUGGGAGAACUCGAUCCUAGCCUGUGUCAGCUAGAUGUGUUUACGUGGAGAGGAGUGGCCACUUUUUAGGUCACCUGAAGCAGUUUAGCCUUUGGAUAGAGGAACCUGCCUCAAUUUAUGGCAUUAGUUGUGGCAUUUUUGUGUGUGCAAGAUGUGGGUGAUGGAGGGGCUGUUUCUUUUUCCGUGUGGGUGGUUAAUAAUCUUCAGUCUCAGAGGGCGAUGCUCAUAGGAUAUUUCAGGGGUUAAUUUAAAAUAGCCAUAUGGAUACAGUCUCAGGUGAGUCAGGGUUGGAUGGUCAUCGGCUUUCAGAGGGAGACCACGGGAAUGUUCAGGGAAAAAUUGUCAGCUUCUCUGAGGACCAGAAUUCAUGUUCACGGGCAGUGAUGACUUGGCUUAUGGAGUGAGUCCAGUCUGGAAUUCCGGCGUGCAUUCUAGCCUGUAUCAUCUCAUUUGGACAAAUGCUGGCACGUUUAAAUUAAAAUGUUGAAAAAC